ACUUCUUCAGAGCAUGUAGAGGGAAAUUGGCUGGUACUGCUGUCGAGGAGGAAAGGUAGGGCUUUAAGGUCUUCCUGGUGGGGGACGGAGGUGUAGAAUGACAGAACGUCCACAGUAAAAAUGGGGGAAUGAGGGCCUGGAAAACUGAAGCGAAACUAGGGGAACAGUACCUCUGUAAUCUGCCGACUCCCUUGCUCUUCCU